CCUACGGGAGGCAGCAGUGAGGAAUAUUGGUCAAUGGACGCAAGCCUGAACCAGCCAUGCCGCGUGCAGGAAGACGGCUCUAUGAGUUGUAAACUGCUUUUGUACGAGGGUAAACGCAGAUACGCGUAUCUGCCUGAAAGUAUCGUACGAAUAAGGAUCGGCCAACUCAGUGCCAGCAGCCGCGGUAAUACGGAGGAUUCAAGCGUUAUCCGGAUUUAUUGGGUGUAAAGGGAGCGUAGGCGGUCGGAUCAGUUAGAGGUGAAAUCCCGGGGCUCAACUUAGGAAUUGCAGGUGAUACUGGUCGGCUAGAGAGUAGUAGCGGUAGGCGGAAUGUAUGGUGUAGCGGUGAAAUGCUUAGAGAUC
rnacentral:rRNA from 1 species